GACAGAGGGUGCAAACGUUGCUCGGAAUCACUGGGCGUAAAGGGCGCGUAGGCGGCUCAUGAAGGCUGUGGUGAAAGUCCGGGGCUCAACCUCGGAUCGGCCGUGGCGACUCGUGGGCUGGAGCACUGUAGAGGCGGGUGGAAUUCCGGGUGUAGCGGUGGAAUGCGUAGAGAUCCGGAAGAACACCAGUGGCGAAGGCGGCCCGCUGGGCAGUGGCUGACGCUGAGGCGCGACAGCGUGGGGAGCAAACAGG
rnacentral:rRNA from 1 species